GUCCACGCCGUAAACGAUGUGUGCUAGCUGUCGGGAGUCUUAGGCUUUCGGCGGCGCAGCUAACGCACUAAGCACACCGCCUGGGAAGUACGGCCGCAAGGUUAAAACUCAAAGGAAUUGACGGGGACCCGCACAAGCGGUGGAGCAUGUUGUUUAAUUCGAAGCAACGCGAAGAACCUUACCUACUCUUGUAUCCUCCUUUUGACUUUUCAGAGAUGAUUGUCUUCGGUUCGGCCGGGGAGUGACAGGUGCUGCAUGGCUGUCGU
rnacentral:rRNA from 1 species